rnacentral:rRNA from 1 species
UACGGAGGGAGCUAGCGUUGUUCGGAUAUACUGGGCGUAAAGCGCACGUAGGCGGCGCCGUAAGUCAGGGGUGAAAUCCCGGAGCUCAACUCCGGAACUGCCCUUGAAACUGCAGUGCUAGAAUCCUGGAGAGGCGAGUGGAAUUCCUGGUGUAGCGGUGAAAUGCGCAGAUAUCAGGAGGAACACCGAUGGCGAAGGCAGCUCGCUGGGACGGUACUGACGCUGAGACGCGAAAGCGUGGGGAGCAAACAGG